AAACCCAGAUUUUCAUCAUUUUGGUUUUCUUAAAGUGAGUGCCUCCCCUGUCAUGGGUUGCUGCCCCCCAUUUGGGAAAGGAAGAAAGGAGUUAUCAGGGAAACAAAACUGAUGAUAAUCCAGAUCCCCUAGAAGUGAAAUCUACACUCUGUGAACAGUAAAACCAACUGCUUGGCACCUGUUAGCACCGUACGGCUGUUUGAAAGCCUAAGGCAGACUUCACCAGCCCAGCGCCCGGCCGGCCAGCCAGCAUCACAGUCUCCCAUAAACACCACCGCGGGCUGUCCUUGGGGCUCUGGGCCUGCAGGGGGAUUCAAGAGGUUUCUUCUAUUGGGACUCAGAAGCCCUGGCCAGCAUUUCCUUCAGAAGAGAGACAUUUGUGAUGGGCCCAGCCUCUUGCCAGAACUUUCCAAGACAAAGAAGACCUUGAUGCUCCUGGCUCUGCAGCAAAACAGCCAAAUGGGCAUUACGGGGACACAGGUGACCACGCUGUCUUGACUGGCCAGCCUGAGACCAGGUGUGUCUGCACAGUGGUGUAACCCACUGCUCAUUCAGGCCUGUGCUGCAGGUUGGCCGUGUCUAGAAGUUCAAUCGUGGAAGGCCCCAGAACAAGGGUGACUACAAACAACCUUCAGAAGCAGCAAGAAAGCGGUACAUGGCAGUGAGGACAGCAUGGCUGAGGCGGGCUGCAUCCCUGCCUCUCUAGUGACUUGGGUUUAAAAAGCUUUUUGUCUAGGGGCGCCUGGGUGGCUCAGUCGGAGGCUCAGCUCAGGUCAGAUCUCAUGUUCGUGGGUUGGAGCCCCGC